rnacentral:misc_RNA from 1 species
CAACCCUCAAGCCCUGCUUGGUGUUGGGCCUCGCCGGUUCCGGCGGGCCUCAAAAUCAGUGGCGGCGCCAUUCGGCUUCAAGCGUAGUAGCACUCUCGCUUCUGGAGACCCGGGUGCGUGCUGGCCAGCAACCCCCAAUUCUAUCAAGG